AUGGUGGGCGCCGGCGAGGGGGGUCGCGCUGGCGGCAGCGGCGCCGGGGUAGGCGGAGGGCAGCCGUUCGUGGACCGGAGCAAGGUGAGGAUCCUCCUCUGCGACAGCGACCCCGACAGCUCACGGGAUGUGCUUCGCCUCCUCUGCAACUGCUCCUACCAAGGUCAAUUCACCUUAGGCUUGUUGUUAAUCAUGUGUUUGCUGCUUGCCGUUGGCCUUAUUAUUACUAGUACAACUAGUAUCGCCAUGUUGUCUUCUAAUGAUGUCUCUGGUGCUCGGUGGUGCUGCUUUAUUUUUUCAGUAACCUGCGCCAAGUCUCCACGGCAGGUGAUCAACAUGCUCAACUGCGAGGGCGCUGAGAUAGACAUCAUCCUGGCCGAGGUCGACCUGCCAGUCUCCAAGUGCUUCAAGAUGCUCAAGUACAUUGGCAGGAACAAGGAACUGCGCCACAUCCCCAUCAUCAUGAUGUCCAACAGAGACGAGGUUUCUGUUGUUGUCAAGUGCUUGCGGCUCGGGGCAGCAGAGUACCUGGUCAAGCCGCUUCGCAUGAAUGAGCUGUUGAAUCUCUGGACCCAUGUGUGGCGAAGGAGACGGAUGCUUGGUUUGGCCGAGAAAAACUUCUUCAUUGACAAUCUUGAGUUGGUGCUGUCGGAACCUAGUGAUGCCAAUACCAAUAGCACCACACUCCUUUCGGACGAGACAGAUGAUAAGCCGAAAGGAAAUAGAAAUCAUGAAACAAAUACCUCGAGUCAACAUGAAUACGAGUCUCCUGCUGUGGACCCCCCCAAAACAGACCAAUGGGAAAAUUUACCUAGCAUUGCGGAAGAUGAUGAUAAAGCAUCAUCUCCAGGAGGAAUGUUUUCACGCCCAAUAAAGACUAAUUUGAGGAUAGCUGAGUCAUCUGCAUUUCUAGCAUAUGUUAAAUCAAGCACUCCAGCAAACAACCCAUUGGAUAAUGAACUACAGAGAGAGGGUAAUCAGAUAGAUGUUAUGGAUCACCAGGGUAAUUUCUCUGGUGCGACCGACAGAAUCGACACUAAUAGUAGUAUAAAUAUUCAGGAUGAAGAAGCUUUUGAGACGCCUAUGCAGUAUCCUUUGGUGUGCUUUUCUUCCUCUAACUUGCAUCUGGAGCAAAGGAAUGAGGGCCAACAAGAUGUUUCAGGAAACCCUCCUGUGUAUCAUUACCCAUUUUAUUAUCCAGGGAUGGUAGAGCAUGGCAUGGCACUUCAUUCAGUUCAAAGUUUCCAAGGAAACAUAAACACUGCUCAAGCUCAUACGCCACCAAGAAUGCUCCAUCAAUACAAUGUUUAUCACCAAUCCCAUGGUGCAUCGAUGCAAUCGUAUCAGUAUAGUCCUGCUGGUAUGAAUGUGCAUUCAAGUCAUUUGUCAACGCGGAAUGUGUGGUCGUCGGUAUCAAGCACACCAAUUCCCGAGGAAAGACAUAGUCGAUCUGGCAGGAGGGCUGCAGCACUUGCAAAAUUCAGGCAGAAAAGGAAGGACCGCUGUUUUGACAAGAAGGUGAGGUAUGUUAAUCGGAAGAAAGUUGCUGAAACAAGGCCGAGGGUGCGGGGUCAGUUUGUUAGGCAGGCAAGCAACACAGAUAUAAUUAGCACUGGUGAUGAUAUAUCUGAAUAUGAAGACGAUGAUCCAUCCUCCAGGGACGUUGAGUUGGUUUCUUCACCAGAAUAG
rnacentral:rRNA from 1 species